AACGAACGCUGGCGGCAGGCUUAACACAUGCAAGUCGAGCGCCCCGCAAGGGGCGCGGCAGACGGGUGAGUAACGCGUGGGAACGUACCCUUAUCUUCGGGAUAGCCCCGGGAAACUGGAAUUAAUACCGAAUGUGCCCUUUGGGGGAAAGAUUUAUCGGAUAAGGAUCGGCCCGCGUUGGAUUAGCUAGUUGGUGGGGUAAAGGCCUACCAAGGCGACGAUCCAUAGCUGGUCUGAGAGGAUGAUCAGCCACAUUGGGACUGAGACACGGCCCAAACUCCUACGGGAGGCAGCAGUGGGGAAUAUUGGACAAUGGGCGCAAGCCUGAUCCAGCCAUGCCGCGUGAGUGAUGAAGGCCUUAGGGUUGUAAAGCUCUUUCACCGGAGAAGAUAAUGACGGUAUCCGGAGAAGAAGCCCCGGCUAACUUCGUG
rnacentral:rRNA from 1 species